UGACCAGAAACCUCUGACCGACGUCCAUCACCUUGAUGAAGGACAGAUCCCUGAAGGACAGAAGGUGGCAGCAGAUGAAGCCAUGCGCAUGCGCUGCUGUCUUCCUCACCAAUCCUCCAGUGAUGUCACGCAACUCGAGUCAGCGAGGUUACCAUAGCGACGCGACCUUAACAGGAGAGCAGGACGUGGUCGGGCUGUAACAUGGUGGUUACAAACCGUAACAAGUGCCGGCGUGAAAACAACGUGAAGACGAAAGUAAAGACUGUGACGUUUCAGCUUCUACCUCUUCGCUCUUCAUCUCUGGCGGGAACUCUGAGCCUUCCUGAAGACACCGACCGUUAGGAGGAGCCUCGGUGACAGAUGGAGCGGAU